GCGAAGAACCUUACCUACUCUUGACAUCCAGAGAACUUUCCAGAGAUGGAUUGGUGCCUUCGGGAACUCUGAGACAGGUGCUGCAUGGCUGUCGUCAGCUCGUGUUGUGAAAUGUUGGGUUAAGUCCCGCAACGAGCGCAACCCUUAUCCUUUGUUGCCAGCGGUCCGGCCGGGAACUCAAAGGAGACUGCCAGUGAUAAACUGGAGGAAGGUGGGGAUGACGUCAAGUCAUCAUGGCCCUUACGAGUAGGGCUACACACGUGCUACAAUGGCGCAUACGAAGAGAAGCGACCUCGCGAGAGCAAGCGGACCUCAUAAAGUGCGUCGUAGUCCGGAUUGGAGUCUGCAACUCGACUCCAUGAAGUCGGAAUCGCUAGUAAUCGUGGAUCAGAAUGCCACGGUGAAUACGUUCCUGGGUCUUGUAC
rnacentral:rRNA from 1 species